GAUGAACGCUGGCGGCGUGCCUAAUACAUGCAAGUCGAGCGAACAGACGAGGAGCUUGCUCCUUUGACGUUAGCGGCGGACGGGUGAGUAACACGUGGAUAACCUACCUAUAAGACUGGGAUAACUUCGGGAAACCGGAGCUAAUACCGGAUAACAUGUUGAACCGCAUGGUUCAACAGUGAAAGACGGUCUUGCUGUCACUUAUAGAUGGAUCCGCGCCGCAUUAGCUAGUUGGUAAGGUAACGGCUUACCAAGGCAACGAUGCGUAGCCGACCUGAGAGGGUGAUCGGCCACACUGGAACUGAGACACGGUCCAGACUCCUACGGGAGGCAGCAGUAGGGAAUCUUCCGCAAUGGGCGAAAGCCUGACGGAGCAACGCCGCGUGAGUGAAGAAGGUCUUCGGAUCGUAAAACUCUGUUAUUAGGGAAGAACAAAUGUGUAAGUAACUAUGCACGUCUGGACGGUACCGAAGCAGAAAGCCACGGCUAACUACGG
rnacentral:rRNA from 1 species